rnacentral:lncRNA from 1 species
GUUAAUUGUUGCCAGUCCCUCCCAGGAUGAGGAGCUAGGUGCCCCCAGACAGGAAAGAGGAGCAAAAAAAGAGUUAAGUGGUGGGGGUGGGGCACUGUAAGCCAGGUAGGUGGUGGAGGGUGGCAGGGAAGAGGACUGAGGAAGCAACGUCAGGAUUUUCUAAAUUAAAAUUGCCCAGGUUUCUGGAAGGAAGCACCCUCUUCACUCUUUCCCUCCCUCCUUCAAUCAGCUGCCUUUUCAGGUGGUUAAAGGCAGGUGGGGAACGCCAGCAGCCCUGAGCACUGUGGCCCCACCAGGGUCUCAGGAGCAGGCUUGACGGCCACAUGAAGUGGACUGGAGACCACACACACUGAAGCCGAUCCAAGUCACUCCUUCAGCAAAUAUUUUUUGAACAUCUCCUAUAUCCUCUGAAACUACAUGGAAAAUAGAGAAGACAAGUUUCUUCCCACACAGAGCCUACAGUCUUAGGGGAGGCAGAAAAAGCACAAGAAAACAGAAAACAGACAAAAUAAGUACCAACUGAGUCUGCCGUGGCUAAGGACAGCUACAGGGACGGAUACACAAUGAAAGUGCCCCCUGAAGAUGAUCGGGGGCCAGAGAAAAACAACCAGAUCAAUGGAAAACACAGGCAUGUUGGCCGGAGGAGGAAAGGCUUGGUGCACCUGGGUGACUCCUUCAUGGUUUCUGAAACGGCUUUAUCCACACUCACCAAAAGCCAGGCCCUGAAGAAUUAAUAUUGACUUCUCCUACCUCCUAACCCACACCUGUUUCCUCCUUUCCAUUCUGCCUGCCCCUGGCUUAGCUCAGGUGUGCGUCAUUUUUACCCUAGUUACUGCCAUUUUCUGGUCACUGGCCUCCCUGCAUGCAGCUAGCCUGCUCUCGUCAGAGGCUCUGCUUAGAAUCCCCCAGUGGCUCCCCACUGCCUUCCAUCAGCC